AUUGAACGCUGGCGGCAGGCCUAACACAUGCAAGUCGAGCGGAUGAAGGGAGCUUGCUCCCUGAUUUAGCGGCGGACGGGUGAGUAAUGCCUAGGAAUCUGCCUGGUAGUGGGGGAUAACGUUCCGAAAGGAACGCUAAUACCGCAUACGUCCUACGGGAGAAAGCAGGGGACCUUCGGGCCUUGCGCUAUCAGAUGAGCCUAGGUCGGAUUAGCUAGUUGGUGAGGUAAUGGCUCACCAAGGCGACGAUCCGUAACUGGUCUGAGAGGAUGAUCAGUCACACUGGAACUGAGACACGGUCCAGACUCCUACGGGAGGCAGCAGUGGGGAAUAUUGGACAAUGGGCGAAAGCCUGAUCCAGCCAUGCCGCGUGUGUGAAGAAGGUCUUCGGAUUGUAAAGCACUUUAAGUUGGGAGGAAGGGCAUUAACCUAAUACGUUAGUGUUUUGACGUUACCGACAGAAUAAGCACCGGCUAACUUCGUGCCAGCAGCCGCGGUAAUACGAAGGGUGCAAGCGUUAAUCGGAAUUACUGGGCGUAAAGCGCACGCAGGC
rnacentral:rRNA from 1 species